UGGGUCGGUGAGACGGUCGCGUCACGGUGCUGCUUCGGCGGACCGUGCCGAGGAACGUCCGGGCUCCGCAGGGGAGAACGGUGGGUAACACCCACCCGGGGCAACCCGCGAGAAAGUGCAACAGAGAGUAGACCGCCCGCACGGUUCGCCGGAGCGGGUAAGGCUGAAAGGGUGGUGUAAGAGACCACCGGCGCCCGUGGCGACACGGGCGGCCAGGUAAACCUCGUUCGGAGCAAGGCCAGACAGAGGAUGACGACGCGCCCCGCCGAGUCCUCGGGUAGGCCGCUAGAGGGUGCCGGCAACGGCGCCCCGAGAGAGAUGACCGUCACCCCGGGGUCGAGAGAUCACCGGGGGACAGAACCCGGCGUAUGAUCCGGCCCAUUCC
rnacentral:RNase_P_RNA from 1 species